rnacentral:rRNA from 1 species
CUACACAUGCAGUCGAGCGGUAGAGAGAGCUUGCUUCUCUUGAGAGCGGCGGACGGGUGAGUAAUGCCUAGGAAUCUGCCUAGUGGUGGGGGAUAACGUUCGGAAACGGACGCUAAUACCGCAUACGUCCUACGGGAGAAAGCGGGGGACCUUCGGGCCUCGCGCCAUUAGAUGAGCCUAGGUCGGAUUAGCUAGUUGGUGAGGUAAUGGCUCACCAAGGCUACGAUCCGUAACUGGUCUGAGAGGAUGAUCAGUCACACUGGAACUGAGACACGGUCCAGACUCCUACGGGAGGCAGCAGUGGGGAAUAUUGGACAAUGGGCGA